AUGAAGAGCGGCAAGUACACGCUCGGCUACAAGACCGUCCUCAAGACGCUCCGGAGCUCCAAGGGGAAGUUGAUUAUCCUCGCAAACAACUGCCCUCCGCUCAGGAAGUCUGAGAUCGAGUACUAUGCUAUGCUGUCCAAGAUCAGCGUUCAUCAUUUCCAUGGAAACAAUGUGGAUCUUGGAACUGCGUGCGGCAAGUACUACCGGGUGUGCUGUUUGAGCAUCCUGGACCCUGGUUCGUCCCUGUUAAACUCAAAACUCUUUGCUCAUUUGUCAUUUGCCGGAGUAACUUGUACUGAGCGUUUACUACGCAUGUUUCCAGGUGACUCGGACAUCAUCACCACCGUUCCUCAGUGA
rnacentral:rRNA from 1 species